rnacentral:rRNA from 1 species
AUUGAACGCUGGCGGCAGGCCUAACACAUGCAAGUCGAGCGGCAGCGGAAAGUAGCUUGCUACUUUGCCGGCGAGCGGCGGACGGGUGAGUAAUGUCUGGGAAACUGCCUGAUGGAGGGGGAUAACUACUGGAAACGGUAGCUAAUACCGCAUAACGUCGCAAGACCAAAGAGGGGGACCUUCGGGCCUCUUGCCAUCAGAUGUGCCCAGAUGGGAUUAGCUAGUAGGUGGGGUAACGGCUCACCUAGGCGACGAUCCCUAGCUGGUCUGAGAGGAUGACCAGCCACACGGGAACUGAGACACGGGCCAGACUCCUACGGGAGGCAGCAGUGGGGAAUAUUGCACAAUGGGCGCAAGCCUGAUGCAGCCAUGCCGCGUGUAUGAAGAAGGCCUUCGGGUUGUAAAGUACUUUCAGCGGGGAGGAAGGUGUUGAGGUUAAUAACCUCAGCAAUUGACGUUACCCGCAGAAGAAGCACCGGCUAACUCCGUGCCAGCCGCCGCCGUAA